rnacentral:rRNA from 1 species
AGAGCGAACGCUGGCGGCAGGCUUAACACAUGCAAGUCGAGCGGGCGUAGCAAUACGUCAGCGGCAGACGGGUGAGUAACGCGUGGGAACAUACCUUUUGGUUCGGAACAACACAGGGAAACUUGUGCUAAUACCGGAUAAGCCCUUACGGGGAAAGAUUUAUCGCCGAAAGAUUGGCCCGCGUCUGAUUAGCUAGUUGGUGAGGUAACGGCUCACCAAGGCGACGAUCAGUAGCUGGUCUGAGAGGAUGAUCAGCCACAUUGGGACUGAGACACGGCCCAAAACUCCUACGGGAGGCAGCAGUGGGGAAUAUUGGACAAUGGGCGCAAGCCUGAUCCAGCCAUGCCGCGUGAGUGAUGAAGGCCCUAGGUUGUAAAGCUCUUUUGUGCGGGAAGAUAAUGACGGUACCGCAAAGAAUAAGCCCGGCUAACUUCGCGCCAGCAGCCGC